rnacentral:rRNA from 1 species
GCAUAUCAAUAAGCGGAGGAAAAGAAACCAACAGGGAUUGCCCUAGUAACGGCGAGUGAAGCGGCAACAGCUCAAAUUUGAAAUCUGGCUUUCGGGCCCGAGUUGUAAUUUGUAGAGGAUGAUUUUGAUGCGGUGCCUUCCGAGUUCCCUGGAACGGGACGCCAUAGAGGGUGAGAGCCCCGUCUGGUUGGAUGCCAAAUCUCUGUAAAUCUCCUUCGACGAGUCGAGUAGUUUGGGAAUGCUGCUCUAAAUGGGAGGUAUAUGUCUUCUAAAGCUAAAUACCGGCCAGAGACCGAUAGCGCACAAGUAGAGUGAUCGAAAGAUGAAAAGCACUUUGAAAAGAGAGUUAAAAAGUACGUGAAAUUGUUGAAAGGGAAGCGUUUAUGACCAGACUUGGGCUUGGUUAAUCAUCUGGGGUUCUCUCCAGUGCACUUUUCCAGUCCAGGCCAGCAUCAGUUUUCGCCGGGGGAUAAAGGCUUCGGGAAUGUGGCUCCCCUCGGGGAGUGUUAUAGCCCGUUGUGUAAUACCCUGGUGGGGACUGAGGUUCGCGCUUCUGCAAGGAUGCUGGCGUAAUGGUCAUCAACGACCCGUCUUGAAACACGGACCAAGGAGUCGUCUUCGUAUGCGAGUGUUCGGGUGUCAAACCCCUACGCGUAAUGAAAGUGAACGCAGGUGAGAGCUUCGGCGCAUCAUCGACCGAUCCUGAUGUUCUCGGAUGGAUUUGAGUAAGAGCAUACGGGGCCGGACCCGAAAGAAGGUGAACUAUGCCUGUGUAGGGUGAAGCCAGAGGAAACUCUGGUGGAGGCUCGCAGCGGUUCUGACGUGCAAAUCGAUCGUCAAACAUGGGCAUGGGGGGCGAAAGACUAAUCGAACCUUCUAGUAGCUGGUUUCCGCCGA